rnacentral:lncRNA from 1 species
GGGACAGGGUUUCACCAUGUUAACCAGUCUGGUCUUGAAUUCCUGACCUCAAGUGAUCUGCCUACCUUGGCCUCCCAAAGUGCUGGGAUUACAGGCAUGAGCUGUCGCACUCAGCCAACAUUCCUGUUUUUGAAAAUCCUCCAAUCCCUGAAGUCUGUAUUACAAGACCAAUUCUGCAUUGCUGAGAGAGACUGUGCUUUACAGAGAGUAAGAUCCUUGAUACUGGCUCAGCAUGGAACAUCUGGCACACAGUAUGCACUGAGGAAAUACUUGUUGGAAUAAUCAGUGAAUCAUAGAUGAAAACUUAACCUUGGAAUUAAUUAUGAGACUGCUCAGAGGAAGAGAAUGGGAGACAAAGGACCUGGUGAUUAGACCCCCAAGACACUGGGCUGUCUGCUUGUGUCUCGGGUGGAACAGGCCCAGCGAGAGUCUUUAGGGCCAGAACUCAAGAAUUUAUUGAGCCCUUGUUCUAGGCACUUGGGAUUCACCAGUAUACAAUGGAGACAAAAAUCCCUGCCCUGGAGCAGCUUACAUUCUAGCAUGGCAAACAGGCAGUAAACAGCCCAUUCUGGCUGCUGUAUUGAGAAGAGAAUGUGGUGGACAGAUAUAGAAGCAUGGAAACCUGAUAGGGCUAUUGCAAUCACUCAGAAAAGAGGCGAUGGCAGCUUGGACCUGUUGGAAGCAGUAGAGUGCUUCCAGGGAGGAGAAAGGACCUGAAGGUUAAUUUGAUCACCAAUGGCCAAUGAUGUAAUCAGUUAUGCCUAUGUAAUGAAGCUUCCGUAAAAACCAAAAGGAUUGGGUUUGAUUGAGCUUCUGGAUAGCUAAACAUGUGGAAGUUCCUGGAGGAUGGUGGUCCUAAACAGGGGUUACCAGAAAAUUUAAAGUUACGCCAGUCACUCCCAUUCUAUUGCUGAGAGAAAAUACAGAGCGGUGAAGAGCUUACAGUCGGGUGAGCAAGAUACGCCCCCAAUGUUAGCUAAUGAUGUAAGGCAUCAACAAGAAAUGUGGGGGUUCAGGAAAGUGGAAGGUGGGGUCGUCCAAAGCCUGGGAAAGUCUUCAGUUGAAGGCGAGACAGAUGGGACUAUUAGUGAGUUUCGAGAGAUCCAACGCCUCGCCGCCUUCGCUUCAUUUUUGUCUCACGCCCCACCCUUGAACGCGCGGCGCCUUUUGACCCCGCCGCCGCGCCGUAGACCGCGCUGCACGCCGGCGGCAGCCAUGGCGGAUGUGUCAGAGAGGACACUGCAGUUGUCCGUGCUAGUAGCCUUCGCUUCUGGAGUACUCCUGGGCUGGCAGGCGAACCGACUGCGGAGGCGCUACUUGGACUGGAGGAAAAGGAGGCUGCAGGACAAGCUGGCGGCGACGCAGAAGAAGCUGGACCUGGCCUGAGACUCUGCGCCUUCCGCCCCAUUCUGUCCCCCUCAUGGCCACCUUGCCAUGUCCGCGCCGGAGCCCCGGUCCGCCGGCGCCCAGAACCAGGCUUGCCACACAGUCCCCGCCUGCCAUGGCCGGCUCUUCCUGGAGUGUUGCUUGUUGAAGAUGCAUAUAGACUACCGGAAAGAAAUGACUUCUUCUUGCACUUUAUGAAUCAAUUUUAUUUUUAAAAUAAAAAAAUUAAACAUC